CCUGCCCGGUGCUCGAAGGUUAAGAGGAUGCGUCAGUCGCAAGAUGAAGCGUUGAAUUGAAGCCCGAGUAAACGGCGGCCGUAACUAUAACGGUCCUAAGGUAGCGAAAUUCCUUGUCGGUUAAAUACCGACCUGCAUGAAUGGCGUAACGAGAUGGGAGCUGUCUCAACCAGAGAUUCAGUGAAAUUGUAGUGGAGGUGAAAAUUCCUCCUACCCGCGGCAAGACGGAAAGACCCCGUGGACCUUUACUACAACUUAGCACUGCUAAUGGGAAUAUCAUGC
rnacentral:rRNA from 1 species